rnacentral:snoRNA from 1 species
CAGAGAAUGAGAGGCGUUCCACGGUUGUCUCUCGUUGAACGAAAGCGGAGGAACAAUAACCAGGCGAGAUAUCGUUUCAGUCGCCGUUUUAUAGAUUGGCGAUUCGAUUGUUGCUCGUCGACAU